GGGGAUGUUCUGGUUUCGACAGCAUCGAUUCCGGGCGGUAAGCAUACCGGGCUUCUGGGAGAUCUGCCCGUAAAAACCGUUCUUCCAAAAAUUUAGUUGCUGAUAACAACUACGCACUCGCUGCCUAAUCCGACCAAGUCGAUUAGCUUAAUCCGAACCGCCUAGGCUGCGGUUCCGACGAGUAUCCUGCGGUCUCUCUCCUUCCGAGUACCGGGUUCAGGGUAUCAUCCAGGAAGGAUGCUCCGGCGGACUCCUUUAAAGCCGGCCAAGAUUCAAAGGAUAAGCUUCGGUUAGCCCGCCUUCCGGCAGGCCGUCGCCGACAACCAAAGGAAGGAUAAGUAUGUAGAAAGCCUCUUGGUACGUUGUUUGGACGGCGGUUCGACUCCGCCCAUCUCCACA
rnacentral:tmRNA from 1 species